UCGUGUGCCAGGCUAGACAGCUCUGGCCUUUGCUCAUUUAAUGAACAGAGCAAAGUUUACAGGUGUGUUUUUCUCAUUUUCCAGGUUAACAUGGAGCACAACUUGCAGAUGUGUUUACAAAAUAUCACCUGGAACAUUAUUUGGGAGCAGGGGGCAGGUGCUGAGCUUAUUUCUUUAUUUCUAAAGGCUUAUAUUCUCUAUGGGCAGCGGGCAGGCUGUUUAUAAGAAAAACUGCUCCAACAGAGUGCACCCAGGGCCCUUGUGGGUCUGCUUUUCCAGCGUGAGUCCACAGGAAUCCGCCCAAUGUUUCCCAAAUGGCCUCUGGGUGGACAAGGUAACUGGUUUCAUCAGAGAGCCUGUCAAAGUCCUGGAGGUGGAAACGAGUUGCCAACUGAUUUACCAUUUUCCUCAAGAUUAACAGAAGUUCCAGGUGGUUGGAAACAAGUGUAACUGGAAGUCAACUGGUGUGUCCUGGACCCUGGCUAAGCUACAAAGCUGUGCACAAAAGGUGGUGAGUUUACAUAUUAUAAGUUCUAGAACCACCUAUAGUUAGGCCCAUCUACUAUGAAGUAUCAAUACAGUAGUUCCCGCUGCACCUCCCACCCCACCCUGCCUUUAUCCAUGGUUUCACUUUCUGCAGGUUCAGUUACUCAGGUCAACCUUGGUCCAAAAAUAGUACUUGCACAUCCAACUAUGGACACCAUCAUGACUUGAUGAUCCAGGUUAACCAAAGCAGAUGAUCCUCCUUCUGAUGGAUCAUCAGAAUGUCAAUAGUAGCCUAAAGUUACAUCACAAUGCCUAUGUCACUCACUUCACUCCAUCUCAUCACAUAGACAUUGUAUCAUCUAAUGUCCUUAUAAGAAGGGUAAGUAUAAUGCAAUAAGAUAUUUGGGAGAGAAACCACAUUCACAUAACUUUUAUUACAGUAUAUUGUUAUAAUGUUCUACCUUAUUAUUCUUUAUUGUUGUUAAUCUUUUAUUGUGCCUAAUAUAUAAAUUAAACUUUGUCAUAGGUACAUAUGUAUAUGAAAAAGCAUAGUAUACAUAAAGUUUGGUACUGUCUGCAUUUUGAGGUGUCCACGGGAGUUCUUAAAACAUAUUCCCCAUGGGUAAAGGGGGACUACUAUACAGAGAAACAGCCCUACCACUAAACAUUCCCCAAACCACUCCAUCCCUACUCCUUGAAGCAGAAGGAAAGGGUGAAUAGAAAGGUUAGCUUUCUGUGAAGUAGAAUGUUCAUUAGGAUAUCCUAAUCUUUCCUUUUACCCAUCCUCACUGUCAUACCUUAUGGACAAGA